ACACGAAUGAAAGUCAAGCUGAAAGACUUUACUCAAUGAUGUAAGUGGUGGUGCAUGGUCGUAAACUACGUGCGACUAGAAGUAUCUGUGAAAAGCAGGUGCUAGUGGGGGCAGGUGCGCUUUUGCGAGUGCCUGUUUCCUGCGACACUGUCAAAUUGCGGGGAAAUCCGAAGUGGGCUAUAGUACCGCUACAGCACCGAAAGGUCUGGCUGUUAGCACCUUAGGGAAACUUGAGGGUAUGGUAAGAACCUAUAUGCCUUGGACAAUCCGCAGCCAAGCCCUAAAGCUUUCGAGCCAUGGGUGCAGUUCAACGACUAAAUGGCAGUGGGCUGGUUUCGGCCGGCUUAAGAUAUAGUCUUGCCCCACCGGAAGGUGGUCCUAGGAGGAAAGGGCUUAGCAGGCCCCGGAACCUAGGAGGUUUUUCGUCCCCUUUCAGGAGGGGGUGAGAGGCUGGAUGUGGCAGUCGUGGUUCGUGGAUUGAUUUGUCUGGUUAAUUCCGAUAACGAGCGAGACCCUAUCGUUCCUAAUAGGGGGCUACAGCCCGAUCGGCCGAAAGGCUGGUUAGCCGUAGCUUAAGAUUAACUUCUUAGACGUAUCAGAGCCGAUAAGGUUCUUGAAAUGGGUUAAUAACAGGUCAGUCAUGCCCUUAGAUGUUCUGGGCCGCACGCGCGUUACAAUGGCAUGUAAAGCGAGUGCUUAUCGAUAGGCUAUACCUGGAUCGAAAGGUCUUGGUAAUCCAUAAUCCCUGCCUUGACUGGGAUAGAUCAUUGCAAUUAUUGGUCUUAAACGAGGAAUUUUUAGUAAUAGCCAGGUCAUUAACCUGCGC
rnacentral:rRNA from 1 species